rnacentral:piRNA from 1 species
UGUUGGAUGCCCCAGCUUGCCUGUUU